CCUACGGGCGGCAGCAGUAGGGAAUCUUCCACAAUGGGCGAAAGCCUGAUGGAGCAACGCCGCGUGGGUGAAGAAGGUCUUCGGAUCGUAAAACUCUGUUGUUAGAGAAGAAAGUGCGUGAGAGUAACUGUUCACGUUUCGACGGUAUCUAACCAGAAAGCCACGGCUAACUACGUGCCAGCAGCCGCGGUAAUACGUAGGUGGCAAGCGUUAUCCGGAUUUAUUGGGCGUAAAGGGAACGCAGGCGGUCUUUUAAGUCUGAUGUGAAAGCCUUCGGCUUAACCGGAGUAGUGCAUUGGAAACUGGGAGACUUGAGUGCAGAAGAGGAGAGUGGAACUCCAUGUGUAGCGGUGAAAUGCGUAGAUAUAUGGAAGAACACCAGUGGCGAAGGCGGCUCUCUGGUCUGUAACUGACGCUGAGGUUCGAAAGCGUGGGUAGCAAACAGGAUUAGAUACCCUUGUAGUC
rnacentral:rRNA from 1 species